rnacentral:rRNA from 1 species
AUUGAACGCUGGCGGCAUGCCUUACACAUGCAAGUCGAACGGUAACAGGUCUUCGGAUGCUGACGAGUGGCGAACGGGUGAGUAAUACAUCGGAACGUGCCCGAUCGUGGGGGAUAACGCAGCGAAAGCUGUGCUAAUACCGCAUACGAUCCACGGAUGAAAGCGGGGGACUCGCAAGGGCCUCGCGCGGACGGAGCGGCCGAUGGCAGAUUAGGUAGUUGGUGGGAUAAAAGCUUACCAAGCCGACGAUCUGUAGCUGGUCUGAGAGGACGACCAGCCACACUGGGACUGAGACACGGCCCAGACUCCUACGGGAGGCAGCAGUGGGGAAUUUUGGACAAUGGGCGCAAGCCUGAUCCAGCCAUGCCGCGUGCAGGAUGAAGGCCUUCGGUUGUAACUGCUUUUGUACGGAACGAAAAGACUCUCUCUAAUACAGGGGUGGAAUGACGGUACCGUAAGAAUAAGCACCGGCUAACUACGUGCCAGC